rnacentral:rRNA from 1 species
AUUGAACGCUGGCGGCAGGCUUAACACAUGCAAGUCGAGCGGGGUGAUGGUGCUUGCACUAUCACUUAGCGGCGGACGGGUGAGUAAUGCUUAGGAAUCUGCCUAUUAGUGGGGGACAACAUCUCGAAAGGGAUGCUAAUACCGCAUACGUCCUACGGGAGAAAGCAGGGGAUCACUUGUGACAUUGCGCUAAUAGAUACGCCUAAGUCGGAUUAGCUAGUUGGUGGGGUAAAGGCCUACCAAGGCGACGAGCUGUAGCGGGUCUGAGAGGAUGAUCCGCCACACUGGGACUGAGACCAGGCCCAGACUCCUACGGGAGGCAGCAGUGGGGAAUAUUGGACAAUGGGGGGAACCCUGAUCCAGCCAUGCCGCGUGUGUGAAGAAGGCCUUAUGGUUGUAAAGCACUUUAAGCGAGGAGGAGGCUCUUUUGGUUAAUACCCAAGAUGAGUGGACGUUACUCGCAGAAUAAGCACCGGCUAACUCUGUGCCAGCCGCCGCCGUAA